rnacentral:lncRNA from 1 species
ACUAGUUAAGAAGCACAAAAGUCUGUACAUUGAACAUUUACCUAGUUCCAAUUAUCUACUCCACACUAUGAUCAAUGUAUUGGUUUGAUCUGUCUUCGGAGGUGACCCUCAGGAAAGUGCUGAGCAAGUACAUAACUGAGACUUGAAACACAAGAAUGCAUUGGGGAGUGUGAGACAAACAUAAAGAGAUGAUCACAAGAUUGCCAAAAAAAAAAAAAGAGUAGGAAUAUGACAUUAAAAGAAAAAAAAAGAAGAAGAACAAUUUCCAUCGGCC